rnacentral:rRNA from 1 species
AAUCAACGCUGGCGGUGUGCCUCAGACAUGCAAGUCGAACGAUUAAAGCUCCCUUCGGGGAGUGCAUAGAGUGGCGCACGGGUGAGUAACACGUAAGUAAUCUACCUUCGAGUGGGGAAUAACGUCCGGAAACGGACGCUAUUACCGCAUAAUGCAGCGGCAUCGCAAGAUGACAGUUGUUAAAGAUUUAUCGCUUGAAGAGGAGCUUGCGGCAGAUUAGCUAGUUGGUAAGGUAAUGGCUUACCAAGGCUACGAUCUGUAACCGGUCUUAGAGGACGGUCGGUCACACUGACACUGAAUAACGGGUCAGACUCCUACGGGAGGCAGCAGUCGGGAAUUUUGGGCAAUGGGCGAAAGCCUGACCCAGCAACGCCGCGUGAAGGAUGAAGUAUUUCGGUAUGUAAACUUCGAAAGAAUGGGAAGAAUCAAUGACGGUACCAUUUAUAAGGUCCGGCUAACUACGUGCCAGCCGCCGCCGUAA